GACGAACGCUGGCGGCGUGCUUAACACAUGCAAGUCGAACGGAAAGGCCCUGCUUUUGUGGGGUGCUCGAGUGGCGAACGGGUGAGUAACACGUGAGUAACCUGCCCUUGACUUUGGAAUAACUUCAGGAAACUGGGGCUAAUACCGGAUAGGAGCUCCUGCUGCAUGGUGGGGGUUGGAAAGUUUCGGCGGUUGGGGAUGGACUCGCGGCUUAUCAGCUUGUUGGUGGGGUAGUGGCUUACCAAGGCUUUGACGGGUAGCCGGCCUGAGAGGGUGACCGGCCACAUUGGGACUGAGAUACGGCCCAGACUCCUACGGGAGGCAGCAGUGGGGAAUAUUGCACAAUGGGCGGAAGCCUGAUGCAGCAACGCCGCGUGCGGGAUGACGGCCUUCGGGUUGUAAACCGCUUUCGCCUGUGACGAAGCGUGAGUGACGGUAAUGGGUAAAGAAGCACCGGCUAACUACGUG
rnacentral:rRNA from 1 species